rnacentral:rRNA from 1 species
UACGUAGGGGACAAGCGUUGUCCGGAAUUAUUGGGCGUAAAGCGCGUGUAGGCGGCCAAGUAAGUCUUACGUGAAAGUCCGGGGCUCAACUCCGGAUCUGCGGUGGGUACGGGCAGACUAGAGUGAUGUAGGGGAGACUGGAAUUCCUGGUGUAGCGGUGAAAUGCGUAGAUAUCGUGAGGAACACCAGAGGCGAAGGCGGUUACCUGGACGAGUUACUGACGCUCAGGCACGAAAGCAUGGGGGAGCAAAAGGGAUUAGAAACCCC